GAUGAACGCUGGCGGCGUGCCUAAUACAUGCAAGUCGAGCGAACAGACGAGGAGCUUGCUCCUCUGACGUUAGCGGCGGACGGGUGAGUAGCACGUGGAUAACCUACCUAUAAGACUGGGAUAACUUCGGGAAACCGGAUCUAAUACCGGAUAAUAUAUUGAACCGCAUGGUUCAAUAGUGAAAGACGGUUUUGCUGUCACUUAUAGAUGGAUCCGCGCCGCAUUAGCUAGUUGGUAAGGUAACGGCUUACCAAGGCAACGAUGCGUAGCCGACCUGAGAGGGUGAUCGGCCACACUGGAACUGAGACACGGUCCAGACUCCUACGGGAGGCAGCAGUAGGGAAUCUUCCGCAAUGGGCGAAAGCCUGACGGAGCAACGCCGCGUGAGUGAUGAAGGUCUUCGGAUCGUAAAGCUCUGUUAUUAGGGAAGAACAAAUGUGUAAGUAACUAUGGACGUCUUGACGGUACCUAAUCAGAAAGCCACGGCUAACUACGUG
rnacentral:rRNA from 1 species